GAAGGCUCGUACAGACUACAUGACUUUAAAACGUUGGUCCGAACUGUGCGGUUCACACUACAUGACUUGCUCUCUGUGAAAUCAGGAGUGUUCACGUUGUUGAUCAGUUCACACCACACGACAUAACGUGACUGCCCCACAACAGGAGGUAACGCACUACACGAGUUGAGAACAACUCUAUCACCCGGCGAUUCUAUCUUGUCCACAAACCACGUUUUGUCACGAAAAAUCACGCGAUAAAACAAACCGGAAAUGACGCGAAACAACACGCGCACCAGUAAACCCACAGAAGAAGAAUGAAGACGACGCGCAAAACUUUUGUUUGUAUAUAUAGACUUCAGACAGAAAUUCGUGCUGCAAACCGUUUGCGCGAUGCAAAGCCGCAAAAGAAAAAAAUGAAGAGAUGUGUGUGGAGAGGUGGAUCAACACCACACGAGGACAGCAGGGAUUUAAGAGUUGGAGAAUAGGACAGGCUUCGCAAAGCAUGACUUGGAGAGCGUUUGUCUUUGACCCUGCGAUUCUAUGCAACAGGUGACACGUUCAAGUCCCUCAGGUUCAAGUCCAGGAUGGGGGACCAGCACCAUCCCACAAAUAGUUUUGGAUAGCUGUUCUGUACCAGGUUAUAAAGGACGAUUUCUUGAAGACACCAUCAACGGAAGGAGAGUGGCAUAGCCGUGGACUUCGAAAGGAAGUGGCAGUUUCCACAUUGCUUUGGGGUACUUGCUACCACUCCAGCUGUAGCAGACUGCUGACCAAAACAUGGUUGAUGGGCAAUGGAAGAAUCGUGGGACGGGUGCUUUUCAACCGAUGAACACCACCUCACAUCGCAAUUGUAUGGCAACAGCAAAAGUGCAACGCAAUCUGAUGCGGGACUACUUUGUCUCACCAGCGUGUAGUGUUUAUUGGCAAGUUCAACACAUUUUAAAAGGAACUGAUGUAGAGUUAUCCCUGCAAACAGCAGAUUAAAGCCAGUUAUUGUCAGUUUAGGACAUUCGUUUUCUUGUGUGUUCUAAAGUCCUGUAUUUGUAAAGAACACAAUGUGGUUCACUUUUUCAUUGUUUUAAGUAUUCUGUUUAUUGUUGUGUUAUUAUUCAAUUAAUUUUAAUUGCAUACAAAUCAAAAGGUGCAGGAAUGUAACAAAUAAAGGCAAUCUGCAUGUUGCAA